UACUCUUGACAUCCAGAGAAUCCAGCGGAGACGCAGGAGUGCCUUCGGGAGCUCUGAGACAGGUGCUGCAUGGCUGUCGUCAGCUCGUGUUGUGAAAUGUUGGGUUAAGUCCCGCAACGAGCGCAACCCUUAUCCUUGUUUGCCAGCGAGUAAUGUCGGGAACUCCAGGGAGACUGCCGGUGAUAAACCGGAGGAAGGUGGGGACGACGUCAAGUCAUCAUGGCCCUUACGAGUAGGGCUACACACGUGCUACAAUGGCGCAUACAGAGGGCAGCCAACUUGCGAAAGUGAGCGAAUCCCAAAAAGUGCGUCGUAGUCCGGAUUGGAGUCUGCAACUCGACUCCAUGAAGUCGGGAAUCGCUAGUAAUCG
rnacentral:rRNA from 1 species